ACGCUGGCGGCGUGCCUAAUACAUGCAAGUAGAACGCACAGGAUGCACCGUAGUUUACUACACCGUAUUCUGUGAGUUGCGAACGGGUGAGUAACGCGUAGGUAACCUGCCUGGUAGUGGGGGAUAACUAUUGGAAACGAUAGCUAAUACCGCAUAAGAACAUUUACUGCAUGGUAGAUGUUUAAAAGGUGCAAAAGCAUCACUACCAGAUGGACCUGCGUUGUAUUAGCUAGUUGGUGAGGUAACGGCUCACCAAGGCAACGAUACAUAGCCGACCUGAGAGGGUGAUCGGCCACACUGGGACUGAGACACGGCCCAGACUCCUACGGGAGGCAGCAGUAGGGAAUCUUCGGCAAUGGGGGGAACCCUGACCGAGCAACGCCGCGUGAGUGAAGAAGGUUUUCGGAUCGUAAAGCUCUGUUGUUAAGGAAGAACGUGUGUGAGAGUGGAAAGUUCACACAGUGACGGUACUUAACCAGAAAGGGACGGCUAACUACGUGCCAGCAGCCGCGGUAAUACGUAGGUCCCGAGCGUUGUCCGGAUUUAUUGGGCGUAAAGCGAGCGCAGGCGGUUAGAUAAGUCUGAAGUGAAAGGCAGUGGCUCAACCAUUGUAGGCUUUGGAAACUGUUUAACUUGAGUGCAGAAGGGGAGAGUGGAAUUCCAUGUGUAGCGGUGAAAUGCGUAGAUAUAUGGAGGAACACCGGUGGCGAAAGCGGCUCUCUGGUCUGUAACUGACGCUGAGGCUCGAAAGCGUGGGGAGCGAACAGGAUUAGAUACCCUGGUAGUCCACGCCGUAAACGAUGAGUGCUAGGUGUUAGGUCCUUUCCGGGACUUAGUGCCGCAGCUAACGCAUUAAGCACUCCGCCUGGGGAGUACGACCGCAAGGUUGAAACUCAAAGGAAUUGACGGGGGCCCGCACAAGCGG
rnacentral:rRNA from 1 species